rnacentral:lncRNA from 1 species
UAUGAAUAUUUAAUUCUCUCCCAUUCCACUGUUCUUCACAAAGUAGGAACAUCUAAGAAUCUUCCCCAGGAUAGCUUCUUCUUGGGAUUCUGAAAGAGACAACUCCCCUCAAUUUACAUUCUGGAACUCCAUAUCACAGUUGGUAGACUGUGCUGGGCUUAGCCCGUUGUUUUGUGAAUGGAGUAGUGAUCUUUUCAAUACAUCCCAGAUCCCAGCUUUUGAUUUUUUGGAGGAGUGUCUUGAUUGUUUUUAGUUUUACUGGAGAUUCUUGUGAUGGGAAGAACUACGAACUUAUUGAGUCCUGUUGGUAUCUCCGACUUUACUAUAAACUCCAAUUCAUCCUUUAGGGCUUUCCUAGCAGUAAGUUGAUGAACUCGUCUGAUUUUCUCAUCUUCUUUUACAUAGAUUUUCAUUGGAUCAAGUUUCUCUGACUCAUUCAAAACAUGAGGAAACUCUG